UGCAUAUCAAUAAGCGGAGGAAAAGAAACUAACAAGGAUUCCCUUAGUAACGGCGAGUGAACCGGGAAGAGCUCAAAUUUGUAAUCUGGCGUCCUUCGGGCGUCCGAGUUGUAAUCUAUAGAGGUGUUUUCCGCGCUGGACCACGUUUAAGUCUCCUGGAACGGAGUAUCAAAGAGGGUGACAAUCCCGUGCUUGACGUGACGACCAGUGCUAUGUGAUACACUCUCAACGAGUCGAGUUGUUUGGGAAUGCAGCUCUAAAUGGGUGGUAAAUUCCAUCUAAGGCUAAAUAUUGGCGAGAGACCGAUAGCGAACAAGUACCGUGAGGGAAAGAUGAAAAGCACUUUGGAAAGAGAGUUAAACAGCACGUGAAAUUGUUAAAAGGGAAACGAUUGAAGUCAGUCGUGCACUUGGUAUUCAGCCGUCUCUGGCGGUGUAUUUGCCUUGUGCGGGUCAACAUCAGUUCUGAUCGGCGGAAAAGGGCUGGAAGAAGGUGGCACCCUCGGGUGUGUUAUAGCUUCCUGUCGUAUACGUCGGUUGGGACUGAGGAAUGCAGCUUGCCGCAAGGCCGGGGUUCGCCCACGUUCAAGCUUAGGAUGUUGACAUAAUGGCUUUAAACGACCCGUCUUGAAACACGGACCGA
rnacentral:rRNA from 1 species